rnacentral:misc_RNA from 1 species
CGCAGAAGAAGAGAAAGGCUCCUCUGGAAGAAGGCACCGUCUCAGUAGUGGGUCGUGAGUGGUGUUGAGUGCUUCUCUUCGAAAAAUCAUGGCGCUUAUCCUCUGGUUCUUGCUGCUUACUGCUUCUUCGUCGCUCGCCCAGAGCCUUCCCGCAGCAGACAAAGGCGGAGGAGGGAAAGCCAGGGCCCUGGGAGAGUCCGGGAACUUGACCCAAGUCGAGAAAGCGCUGGACGACGUGUCCAUGGAAGAAGAUGGAAUGCCUGCCUCUUGCACCGAGGGCCAGGUCGUCGAGCACGGCUGCGAUGAGAAAUGUGUGUGCGUGGAAGGAAAGCUAAACUGCACGCAACGCUGUGCCCCGCCAUUAGUGCGCUCUAUACUGGGCACGACGGACCCAAAGUGUGUACUCAAACCAACCUCGGACAAAUGCUGUUCUUCCCUAGUCUGUUCAAACAGUGAUAAUGAAGCCACAUCAACUGCCACUGCCAAAGUAUGUACUUUUAAAAAUGAAACGUACAAGUAUGGCGACGUUUUCCAUGAUGGAUGCAGUAGUACUUGUAAUUGUAUGGAAAAUGGAGAAGUAACUUGCAAACCAAGAUGCCCUUCUAACAAUCGAACAGCGAUAUCUGAUCGAUGCUUAUCAGUUGCUGACACAAAAGACCCAUGUUGUAAAAUUCUUUAUUGCGAUGUUAAUAUAGAUGAUAUGAGUGUUGACGAAAUUCUAGAAUACUUUAAACUUGUCUCUGCAGUACCGUCAAAUGCUACAUCUGUCUUAUUAAAUUUAGAUAAAAUGACAUAUGUUGAUAAUGUUGAAGCUGAAGUCAGUGAAGAUGAAAAAACAUGGACACCUGCCAAAACGAUCGGCCACCAAGUCGUUGAUCUGACACCAGGAAAAACUUAUUAUUUUAGGGUCAUAAUAAAUGGUUUAGUGUCUAACGUUGUCUCGACAACAACACCUUCUAUGAACACCGACUCUUCAAAAUGCCUUUACAAAGGGAACACAUAUAAAAUUGGUGAGGAGUUCCAUGAUGGAUGUACAGCUUUGUGUGCCUGCUUUAAAACAGGGAUUGAAUGCGCAACUAUUGAAUGUCCGACAGAUUUUGGACUAGACGUCUUAGAUCCUCAGUGCUUAUCAUGGGAAACAAAGCCGCAUGAUUUUGUACCAAAUCCUCCUCACUGUUGUCCAGAAACUGUAAUAUGUACGAAUAACGGUUCCUGCACCUACAAAGACGAAUUGUUUGACAACUGGGCGGACAUUCCAGACAAAUUGACAGGGUGCGAGGAAAAAUGCUAUUGUGAAAAUGGUAAAGUUAAUUGCAGGCCUAGGUGUUUACCUGUACCGAACUCGCCACCGUCCGAUCUUCCAUGCUCUCCGAAUGAUGCUAUUUUAACUCAUACACCUGGAGAAGAUAACUGCUGUCUGCAAUGGACAUGCGGCGCUAAACAGAAUGGUACUGGACCUAAUGUGACGAAUAAUUCAGUAAAAGAGACCAAAAUGAAACAAUCUCUCAGCCAUGAUGGCUCCUCUGUUCCAUUCCUUGGUCCAUACAGUCCCGAUAUACUAGGCAAGGCUGAAAAAAAACAUAUACACACAUCUAAAGAAAAACACAAUUUCCCGGGGCCAUAUAUAUUUCAUGACAAUACAACAUUUAACCACACUGUAAAAAGCACAGUAAAACCAACCCCAUUGACUGAAACACAAAAAACUAAUGUCAACGAGCAAAGGUUAAAUGAUUCAGCCACAGAUCAUGAAUUAUUGAAGCAAAAACACAAAAAUAUUAGUGAAAAAUUUGAAACAAAUGUUCUGAUUAAUACUGCAUCUCCUGGCUCUGAACAAAUAAAUUCACAGACUGAAAUCUCUCUAGGUGUAUUAAACCCGAAUACAACAAUAGAAAAAGUUCCCACAGACAACACUAGUCCUGCAGUACAUUCGAACUUAGACACUCAAAAUGGUAUGUCAGUUUCAAACAAUGAUUUUUCAAGUAGACCACCCAUCAUGAUUAAUAAAGGUGACAACAUUUUACCUCCUGUUGCAGUAAGUUUGCCUAAUGGACCUGUGAAUCCAGACAAACAAGGAACUGAUAAGGUCAAAAUUGACAGUCAAAAUAUUUUACCGUACGAUAAGACACAACCAGGCCAUGAACUACAUGCUGGUAGUGAGAAUCAGAAUGAAAAUGCGAACAAAGUACCAUCACAUGGUAACCCGGAAUAUUCCUCUUCCAUGCCCAAUAGUUUCGAUAGUGCACUUUCAGGUCUUUGGCCGAGUCAUGAGGUGCCGAAUAAAAUCCCAAUAGGAAUUAUUAAUCCUGACAAAUUGAAUAAUCAAAAUGAGAAAAAGCCUCAAAAUAUACCAGAAAAUGUUCCAAAUGUAAAUCCAAACUUAUUGGACCACUUGUUAGAAUACCACCAUUACCAAGAAAAGCCGGUACAGAAUCAAGGGAACUAUCACAACGCAAACCAUCCCCAAUACGAGAUUCCACAAGACAGGCCAAAUCCCCACGAUAAUUCCAAUCAGAUUAAUCCUUAUUUACAUCAGCAAAUAGUGACUGGAAAAGAGGUCGCCAAAGGUGUCCACCAACAUGUACCAUAUCCGCACUUCCCCGAACACGUAAAUCAAGUACCACUCCAACGGCCACCUCACUUAUACCACAUAUUACCCAAUGGACCACAACGGUUUCCGCAGCCGCCUCAAUUCGUUUCCCCCGAAGAAUUAUAUUUAGUACAAAAUCAACAAAGACUUCCACAGAAACAAAACGUACAUCCUUAUUUUAACAGCCCAACAUCCCAUACAAGAAAAGAGCCCGUUCAUUACCAGAAUCCCAAUUCACCUCCACUAGGACUUGAAGACAUUAUAGAUCAAAUAAGACAACAUGAAGGAACUGACUCACAUACUAAAGACACACACGUUAUUGUGCUAGCUUCCCAGCCACCAAACGCUGGACAAGCUGCACCUCCUCGAAGGCCGAUGCCAGGAUUCCCCAUUCAUCCAUCACAGCACGAUCCAAAUGGCAUUGUUGUUCAUACACUUGAAGCAGUAGAUGAAAAUAAUGUGAGGUUAAUAUUUUCUGUACCACUUGUCCUUGUUGGUCUUCACGGACGGGUAGAACUGAGAUACACUUCUGAUAAGGAGAACAGCGAUCCCUCGACCUGGGAGCAAAAAGUAUUUGCACCAGCGAAUGAUCUUAUUGCGACCUCAGAAUUACAGUUUGAACUAGAUGAUCUUCAACCGGACACAGAAUACAAGAUCAAAAUUACUGUCGUGAUGAGAGAUAUUGAAAACUCGCCUGCGAGCAAAAUACUCGUAGUGAAAACACCACCUGCAGCUUCUGCAGCGACUGUUCCACCGAUGAUUCCAGUCGAACCAGAUCUUAGGGUCACAAAGGUGAAUUCAUCGUGGGCUGUUUUAGAAUGGAGGAAAUUUACUGAAGAUGAACUGCAUUUUAUUGAUGGUGUACAAUUAAGAUACAAAGAAAUAAAUGGAAAGGUUUACCAAGCAACACCGUUGAUCCAUAGAGCAGUAACAAGUUAUACAUUAGAAGGUUUGAAACCUGACUCUCAGUAUGAAAUUGGAAUUUUCUUUAUACCAUUCCCAGGGCAAACUACAGAACUUCAAGCUCAAAAAACUGUCCAUGUCUCAACGACAAUUGAAAAUGAUCCAUAUAAAUUUGAACUAAUGUUGGACGUUCACCACAUAAAGAGUACCACUGUCGAGAUAAGUUGGACUGGUGUGCCAUAUCCUGAAGACAAAUACGUCAACAUAUUCAGAGCAAUUUAUCAGUACGAAGGAGGUAGAGAAUAUAUGAAUACUUUUAAAGUUGCUAAAAGAGAUUCGCCGGCGUCAACUUUGAUCCAGGGGCUAAAACCAGAUACAAGGUAUCGUUUGUGGUUGGAAGCUUAUUUGACAAAUGGAAGAAUUAAAAAGAGCAAUGUGAAAGAUUUCACGACAAAGCAAGGUGUAGUUUCAAGUGGAGAUGUCCGUCAAGGAAAAUUAGAAGGCUCUCCACUCUCUGAGGCCAAUGAUUAUUAUGGUCCUCUAAUCGGUGUAUCUAUACUUGCAGCAAUUGCUAUAUUGACAGCUUUGGGCCUGCUUGUUGUUAUCGCACGCAAGCAUGGCCAUAACAAAGCUCCAAUUACAGCGGCAGUUCAGAGAAAGUCUGUUCCUCAUACUGCAGCAUAUGAUAAUCCAUCCUAUAAGGUAGAAAUGCAGCAUGAAACAAUGGGUAUGCACUCUUAGUGUUCCCCUUGUAUAAUUAAUAUUAUUUUCCGAAUGAGUUCUCUUUAAACAGACUUGUGAAAGCGACAUUUCUAACGGAGGAAAAUCAAUAACAAUUGAAGAAUCAUGAAAAUGAUCUUCAGAAACUAGUCUGCUGUUAACUAUUAGAAUAAGACCGAAGUCAAAAAGUACGUUAAUGUGACAUUUAGUUAUUUAUUUAAUGCACAAUUAACAGGAUUUCAGCAAUAAUCAAUUUGUAAAAUAAAAAUUGAUAUAAAACAAAAAGGAAAGAAGAUUUAUAAGCCCUUCAAAUCAAGAAUUUUCCUUAAGUGAUCUGACUUUACCCUAUAAAACCAAACAUAUA